rnacentral:tRNA from 1 species
CCGCCCCUAGCUCAAUUGGUUAGAGCACCGAGCUUAUACCUCGGCGGUUCCUGGUUCGAUUCCAGGGGGGCGGA